rnacentral:rRNA from 1 species
AACGAACGCUGGCGGCAGGCUUAACACAUGCAAGUCGAGCGCCCCGCAAGGGGAGCGGCAGACGGGUGAGUAACGCGUGGGAAUCUACCCAUCUCUACGGAAUAACGCAUGGAAACGUGUGCUAAUACCGUAUACGUCCUUCGGGAGAAAGAUUUAUCGGGGUAGGAUGAGCCCGCGUUGGAUUAGCUAGUUGGUGGGGUAAAGGCCUACCAAGGCGACGAUCCAUAGCUGGUCUGAGAGGAUGAUCAGCCACACUGGGACUGAGACACGGCCCAGACUCCUACGGGAGGCAGCAGUGGGGAAUAUUGGACAAUGGGCGCAAGCCUGAUCCAGCCAUGCCGCGUGAGUGAUGAAGGCCCUAGGGUUGUAAAGCUCUUUCACCGGUGAAGAUAAUGACGGUAACCGGAGAAGAAGCCCCGGCUAACUUCGUGCCAGCCGCCGCCGUAACAC